UGCCGGGAUUGGGGGCGGGCACGCCGCCUCCGUCUCCCACGCGCUCGCUCGCUCGCUCCCGCCCUCCCCGCCUCGAGCGAUCUCCUGCCUCAGCCUUGCAGGCUCCGCACUGCAGAUGCCUGCUGGCUUCCCUGCGUUCGGCGGCUCCCGCAGUGCCCCGCAAGUCCCCGUGACCCUACAGCACCGGCCGGCUGUGCGCUCCCUGCUCCCAGGGGCCGGUCAGCCGCAGACACUCACCCAGCUCCGCGAGCUCAGCCGCUCAGCCAGUGGGGUAGCGGGGACCGAGACGGACGGUGGCCGUGCCAGAGCCCGGGGCGCUCUCGGAUGCGGCAGGACAAGCUGACCGGGUCUCUGAGGCGCGGGGGGAGAUGCCUGAAGCGGCAGGGCGGCGGCGUGGGCACCAUCCUGAGCAAUGUGCUCAAGAAGCGCAGCUGCAUUUCCCGGACCGCGCCCCGGCUGCUGUGCACCCUGGAGCCGGGAGUUGAUACCAAGUUGAAAUUCACUCUUGAGCCAUCUUUAGGUCAAAAUGGUUUUCAGCAGUGGUACGAUGCUCUCAAGGCAGUUGCCAGGCUAUCCACAGGAAUACCAAAGGAAUGGAGGAGAAAGGUUUGGUUGACCUUGGCAGAUCAUUAUUUGCACAGUAUAGCCAUUGACUGGGACAAAACCAUGCGCUUCACUUUCAAUGAAAGGAGUAAUCCUGAUGAUGACUCCAUGGGAAUUCAGAUAGUCAAGGACCUUCACCGCACAGGCUGUAGUUCUUACUGUGGCCAGGAGGCUGAGCAGGACAGGGUUGUGUUGAAGCGGGUGCUGCUGGCCUAUGCCCGAUGGAACAAAACUGUUGGGUACUGCCAAGGCUUUAACAUCCUGGCUGCACUAAUUCUGGAAGUGAUGGAAGGCAAUGAAGGGGAUGCCCUGAAAAUUAUGAUUUAUCUUAUUGAUAAGGUACUUCCCGAAAGCUAUUUUGUCAAUAAUCUCCGGGCAUUGUCUGUGGAUAUGGCUGUCUUCAGAGACCUUUUAAGAAUGAAGCUGCCGGAAUUAUCUCAGCACCUGGAUACUCUUCAGAGAACUGCAAACAAAGAAAGUGGAGGUGGAUAUGAGCCCCCACUUACAAAUGUCUUCACGAUGCAGUGGUUUCUGACUCUCUUUGCCACAUGCCUCCCCAAUCAGACCGUUUUAAAGAUCUGGGAUUCAGUCUUCUUUGAAGGUUCAGAAAUCAUCCUAAGGGUGUCGCUGGCUAUCUGGGCAAAAUUAGGAGAGCAGAUAGAAUGUUGUGAAACAGCAGAUGAAUUCUACAGCACUAUGGGGCGCCUUACCCAGGAGAUGCUAGAGAAUGAUCUUCUGCAAAGCCAUGAACUCAUGCAGACUGUUUAUUCCAUGGCUCCGUUCCCUUUCCCACAAUUGGCAGAGUUGAGGGAAAAAUACACCUACAACAUUACACCGUUCCCAGCCACAGUUAAACCCACCUCAGUUUCUGGACGACAUAGUAAGGCCAGAGACAGUGAUGAAGAGAAUGACCCAGACGAUGAGGAUGCUGUCGUUAAUGCAGUGGGGUGUCUUGGACCUUUUAGUGGGUUCCUGGCUCCUGAACUGCAGAAGUACCAAAAACAAAUUAAAGAGCCAAAUGAGGAGCAGAGUCUGAGAUCUAAUAACAUUGCAGAGCUGAGUCCAGGAGCAAUCAAUUCCUGUCGAAGUGAAUACCAUGCAGCUUUUAACAGUAUGAUGAUGGAACGCAUGACCACAGAUAUCAAUGCACUGAAGCGGCAGUACUCUCGAAUUAAAAAGAAGCAACAGCAGCAGGUUCAUCAGGUGUACAUCAGGGCAGACAAAGGGCCAGUGACCAGCAUUCUCCCAUCUCAGGUAAACAGUUCUCCAGUUAUAAACCACCUUCUUUUAGGAAAGAAGAUGAAAAUGACUAACAGAGCUGCCAAGAAUGCUGUCAUCCACAUCCCUGGUCACACAGGAGGGAAAAUAUCUCCUGUCCCCUACGAAGACCUUAAGACGAAGCUCAACUCCCCGUGGCGAACACACAUCCGAGUCCACAAAAAGAACAUGCCAAGGACCAAGAGUCAUCCGAGCUGUGGGGACACCAUAGGGCUGAUAGAUGAGCAGAACGAGGCCAGCAAGACCAAUGGGCUGGGGGCAGCAGAGGCGUUCCCCUCUGGUUGUACAGCGACAGCUGGGAGAGAAGGCAGCAGCCCUGAAGGCAGUACCGGGAGGAUGAUCGAGGGGCAAUCUCCAGAGCCGGUGUUCGGAGAUGCUGAUGUGGAUGUGUCUGCGGUUCAGGUGAAGUUGGGAGCCCUGGAACUGAACCAGAGGGAUGCUGCCGCUGAAACUGAGCUCAGGGUGCACCCACCCUGCCAGCGGCACUGCCCAGAGCCGCCAAGUGCACCCGAAGAAAACAAAGCCACCAGCAAAGCUCCCCAAGGCAGCAACUCAAAAACCCCCAUCUUUAGCCCUUUUCCCAGCGUCAAGCCCCUGCGGAAAUCUGCUACUGCCAGGAACUUGGGAUUAUAUGGCCCUACAGAAAGAACCCCAACCGUGCACUUUCCUCAAAUGAGUAGGAGCUUCAGCAAACCCGGCGGUGGAAACAGUGGCACUAAAAAACGAUGAUGUCUCCCCGAAACUUUGUAUCUGGACUCACCUUUUCACAGUAGUAUAAGGGUUGCAGCUGAAUGGCUCUAAAAGAGUUUUAUUUGUCCAGUGAAAAUGAAUAGGUUCAGGGAUGAGCAACAGCCCAUAAAAAAUGGGAACUGGAAGUUUUAUAAUAGGAGUUAGAACAGGGCUGUUUUCCCAGCUACUUGCUAACUGACGAAGUGGAUUCUUGUGGCAAAAUAAAUAUUGUGGUUUUAUAGUGUGAAGUUUUCCCAAUUUUUUUAUUGUGAGCUGUUUAAAAAAGACUGUAUAACUAGAUUGUUAACUCUCGUCCAUCCUUCUGUUCUGGGGGCCUUCAGAGUCCCUGUGACAGCACCCCCAAACCUUCCAGUUCUCUGGGUGUUACUAAUACUCAAGCAUGCACAUACCAGCUUGCUAGGACAGAAACUGUAAAAAGAAAGUAAGUUUCUUCGUUACGAAAAACUUCCUGAUUUUCCUUUUCAUGCUUUACGGAGGGGAUUGUGUCGUGUGAGAUUUCCCACAGUACCGGUUUCAAAUUUUUUUUUUAUUCUUAUGCUAAAUCAUAGGAGAAAAAUCUAGAUAGCCUUUCUUUAACUGUCUAUUUCUACCUGCAAAAUGAAGAAAACCUUUCAUCUGUUGAAAUUUUGGUCGAUAACCCAGCUGAAGAUCUUAUGCACAGGACACACUUGGCAUAUGCUUUACGCAGUUGCUCCGGACAGCUUGCUCGUGCCACUGAGCUUUUCCUGAGGUUUGUGUUCACCUCUCAAGGAGAGCUUUGGUCCUCAGUGGUACGGAUGACUUGAUGGGCUCCAUGCGGAGCCUGGCCUGCAUCCCCCACCACACAGCUCACUCAUGCACCAGCUCUAGACUGCAGACGCACAAGGCCUCUGCUCAGAAGCCAGAACACAGCACCUGUGACUCUGUUACUUGAAUUUUGUGCUUUUUGAUUGGAGUCCUUUGUUGAGUACUUUGUUAAUUGAACACUGCCUUUCUCUGGAGAAGGCCCCAGUGCUUUCUAGCUCCCUCUCACUCCUGCCCUUUCUAGCUCUCUCUCACCCAGCGGGUCAGGGAUAGCACCUCUUGUCUCCACUAUGCAGAUGGGAACUCUGAGCCACACAGAGGUGAAGUAGCACUUCAGUUACUCAAGUUUUGUCUACCAUUCCGGUUCCAUCUGCAUUCCCGGAGGAGUCCUGUUGAGGGAAGAGUGACUGUGAGCAAAACAUGAAGAGCUGUGUCACCAAGUUCCAUAAAAUCUGGGAGCCCGAGCAGCAUAUUUGUGGGAUUUGUCUGACAGAAUGCAAUGGAAACAGAGCGUGGCAUUCGCUCGUGGCCAUCUCCCCCAGAUUGUUCCAGAACAGUGCAAGUAGAGCCACCUCGUUCUUUUUUACUGCUGCAUAGAUUUCCAUUUCAGAUGUUCCAUAAGUUUCUGCUUCCAUCAGCAAUGUAAGGAAGUGCCCAAUUCCUCCUACCCCCACAUUACUGAGAAUCUUAUCAAAUUUUUUGAUCUUUUCUGAUUGGGUGAGUACUUAAUGUAUGUUUGAAAAAUAUGCAUAAGGUUGACAUAUAUUUAAAAGUUAUUUAUAUGUCCUUUGUUCAUAGGCUUUGCUCAUUCUUGCUGUUUUUUUUCUUACUGGUUUUUCUUUCUUUUUGAGACGGAGUCUCACUCUGUUGCCCAGGCUGGAGUGCAGUGGCGCGAUCUCGGCUCACUGCAAGUUCUGCCUCCCGGAUUCAUGCCAUUCUCCUGCCUCAGCCUCCCGAGUAGCUGGGACUACAGGUGCUUGCCACCACGCCUGGCUAAUUUUUGUAUUUUUUUUUAGUAGAGAUGGGGGUUUCACCAUGUUAGCCAGGAUGGUCUUGAUCUCCUGACCUCGUGAUCAGCCUGCCUCGGCCUCCCAAAGUGCUGGGAUUAGAGGCAUGAGCCACCACACCCAGCCUUUUUCUUACUGAUUUGUGAGUUUUUUAUGCGUUAAGAAAAACAUCCUUGUCUGUAAUCUGUGUCACAAUAUUUUUCUCAUUUUGUCAGUUAUCUUUUGACUUUGUUCAUGCUGAUUUAUUGACAUGUAUAUAGAUUUAAGGUCAUUUUUAUUUGGUCAUAUCUAUUAAUCUUUUCUAUUAUAGCUUCUGGGUUUUGUGUGAUGUUUGGAAAGGCUCUCUCUACUUCUUUGUGGUUGUUUUAAAGUUCUUUAAUUUUUUCCUUCUACUAGUUUUAUGGUUUCAUUUUUUAUGUUUAAAUCUGACUCAUUUGGAAUUUACUUUUGUGUAAGUUGGGAACUAAGGUUCCAUCUUAACAUUUAUUUUUUCCAAAUAGUUACCUAGUGGUGCUGGCACCAUUUAUUAAUCUUUCCCCUAUUGAUUAAAAAUGCCACCUUUAUAAUCACAUACUAAAUUCCUGUAUGUUUUAGGGUGAAUAUCUGGACUUUUGGAGUACAACUGAACCACUACCCUCAUUGAGGUGGGGGCAGAGAGGCCAGAGCUCUGUGCACUGGUUUCCUCUCUGGUUGCCAGCAUUACCCCUGAAGUUGCUUUGGGGGAGAUCUUGGGGUUCUGGGGAACAGAGUUUGGAAACUACCAGUCUGGACCACUCUCUUUUUUCACUGAUGAAAAUCUGUAGCUCGGUGUAAUUAAGUGACUUAAAAUAACAUUCUGACAUUAGCAAGUUGCCGUAUGUUCCCAAUCCCCUAACCCCCCGCCAUGUGCAUGGAGUAUAUCAUUGGUGUAGGAGGCUCACUGUUACGAGAAUCACAGGAAGUUGGCCAGGGAGCCCACAGCUGCUGUUAGGGACUGCUAUAGUGUCAGAAGGCCUCAUCCAUGUAUUUGGGGGAAAGAAUGUUCCAGAAAGAGGAAACAGCAAGUACAAAGUUUCUGAGCUACAUAUGUAGAGAGAUAUAGGUAUAGGUAUAGAAAUAGUAUAGAUAAUUUAGAAAGACAGAGAUAGAGACAGACCUAGAGAUUAGAAUGUGCUUCAGCUAAGAAUAGGACCAUUUUUACUUAGCAUGCUGUUCAUAGUAAUAAGUUGCUGUUAUAAUUUUCACAGCCAAAAGUCCAUACAUGAUGUUAUUUGUAUUGCUUAUGUUGUUUUAUAUAUUGUUUUUAUUUAUGCUUAUAUUUUCACAGCCCUCCUAAAUUGAGUGGAAUGAUUGCAAAGUGUUUCCAAUAAAUGAGGAUACUCCACCCCUUACCCUCCAAAAGUCUUCUCUUCAAUUUGGGUUUGGUGCCAGCAAUUUAGUCUUGACUGAUACAAUAACAUUUCAAAUUUCUAGAAAUAGUUGGGGGAGGGGAAGACUAGCCUGUGUUGUAGAGCUUUGAAGAGAUAAAAACAGCUUUGCACCUGAUGCCUCUCCCUGAGAAAGUAGUCAGCCCCAGAGAGUCCCAGUUCCACCUUCUUUUGAAAUUAUCUUAAAGGUAACCAAUGGAUCCCCUCCAGGAGGGACUGUCCAUCCCCACCAGGUGCAGAGAAUGAACCACUGCUUAAGUUUGCCUGGUAAAUGGUUUGGAAUGUCACUGCUAGACAUGGUGGCUGUGAUGUCACUACUGUGUGUAUCUUGAAAGGUCAGUAAAGAAUGAGUAAAACAUUUGAAGAGGUUCUUAUUCAACAACAAUAUUUGUUUAAAGGCUUGCCAAAAACACAAAACAAAGCCUUAAACCCCAAACCUUUAAUAGUAUAAAGAUAACGAGGCUUAAGUCAUAAACAUUGGAUUUCCAGAAUUUAAAAAGGUAAUUUUUGAACAGGAAUUACAUCAAGAAAAGAUUUUUUUGAAUUGACUGUCUUCUAAAACAAAUUAAAAAAAACAAAAACAAGAAAAGCAAUAACAAAAAACAGUUGCUAAUGUUCAAUCCAGAGAAAUGGAUGGAUUCCAGUAUUUUAUUCACAAACAAGCUUCAUCCAAAUGGCAGAACAACAGGGGUCUGGCCUUCUGCAUGCUCAGGCCUGAGUUUCUGAACCGGAGGGUAUAUGGUGAGGUUGGGAUUAAGGGUUUUCCUGCCUCAUUUAAUCAGGGCCUAGUCACAGUUGCACCAGCAGUUGUUUUCACAUCCAAUUCUGUUGGCCUUAUAGUCUGGGAAAAUUCUCCCAACUCCAACAAUGAACUGACUUGGAACUUGAGACUCUGCGGUGCUGAUAUUGACAUCAGAAAAUCUGGACACUGCUCCAGGGUUCUUUCAUAAAGUCCAAGAGGUCAUACUAUGUUCAUAGCAACAUCAGGGUGUGAUUUGCCUUUUUCACUCCCAUUUUCUCACAAGUAUACAAGGAGGUUUUCAGAGGCUGCAUAAUGUGUGAUAUCACAACAGCCUGAAUGCAGGAGCAGAUAGGAGAACCCAGCUGUCUUCUAUUAAACCACAUAUGAAAGAGAUUUGCAAAAAUGUAAAGCAAUACUGCUCUUUCACCAAAUAUUUUUGUUUUGGAAAAUGUGGUUAUUUUUCAUAGAAUCUUAUUUAUGAUAAUGGAUUUAUUGUAUAUUUAAAAGAAUUAAAAUAUUUUGACUUUACUUAUAAUACACUAAAUAAAAGAUAUCAUGUAUAAGCUCUUUAGGGUUCUCAUAAUUUUUAAGAGCUUAUGUUAAGUUUAAAGUUUGUCUAAAGAGGUUCAGAGACCAUAAAUUUUGAGAAUUAUGAGUCUAUGGGAUAGUGAAGGAAGAUAAACACAAAAUAACAAUUAAUAUUUAUUGAGUGCUUCCUGUUUGACAGGCACUGUGCUAAGAGCCUUACAUGGAUUGCCUCCUUUAAUUCUCAUAACCACCCCUCAGAAUCUCUUCUUCACCUCACUUGGGAUUCCACACUAGGAACUGGGCUACUCUCCUGUCUAGCCACUAGUCUAACCUUACUAAGUUUCUAACACUUCAUAUCAGACCUCUCCCCUGUUCAUCCCCCACCACAGUGAUGUCUUCCUCAUCCUAUUCAGGUAUUGACACCCAUACUAGGAUACUCCAUGUAUAGAUAUUCUCCUUGCUCUCUGUGAUUUAUGUCUCCACUUGGCUGAGCCAGGGUACCCAGAUUUUUGGUCAAACAUCAUUCUAGAUGUUUCUGUGAAUGUAUAUUUAGAAGAUAUUAACAUUUAAAUGAAUAGACUUUGAGUAAAACAUAUUACCUUUCCUACUAAAAGUCUUAAUAGGAAAAGAUUAACCUUUCCCAAAGAAAUCCUGCCAGCCCACUACCUCUGGACUUGAAUUACAGCAUCAGUUCUUUUCUGGGUCUCUAGUUUGCAGGACUACUUUCUCUCUCUCUGUAUAUGUGUGUGUGUGUGUGUGUCUGUGUGUGUACAGCUGACCCUUGCACAACACAGGUUUCAACUUCACAGGUCCACUUAUACGUGGAUUUCUUCAAUAAAAGUAACACCAAGUGUGCCUGCUUCUCCUAAGCCCUCCUCCACCUCCUUCACUUCUUCUACCUCUGCCACUCCUGAGACAGCAAGACAGCCUACUCAAUGUGAAGAAACAGGAAUAAAGAUCUUUAUGAUGAUCCACUUCCACUUAAUAAAUAGUAAAUAUAUUUUCUCUUCCUU